rnacentral:rRNA from 1 species
CGAGUGGCGGACGGGUGAGUAAUGUCUGGGAAACUGCCUGAUGGAGGGGGAGUAACUACUGGAAACGGUAGCUAAUACCGCAUAACGUCGCAAGACCAAAGAGGGGGACCUCGGGCCUCUUGCCAUCGGAUGUGCCCAGAUGGGAUUAGCUUGUUGGUGGGGUAACGGCUCACCAGGCGACGAUCCCUAGCUGGUCUGAGAGGAUGACCAGCCACACUGGAACUGAGACACGGUCCAGACUCCUACGGGAGGCAGCAUG